AUGAUCAGGAGCUUAGGGUGGAUAUUUCGAGGUCUAGUGGCAAGACAGCGCAUGCUUCGUACUCCACAUUCUAUAUUGGGAAUGAGACCAGUAAAUACAUUCUCACUGUCGAGGGGUUCUCAGGAACGGCGGGAAACAGCAUGCUUCGUAACAAUGGAAGGAUGUUCUCGACAUUCGACCAAGACAAUGACGAGCACGUGCAGUCGAACUGUGCGGUAUAUUCGCUAGGAGCCUGGUGGUACAGUGACUGCGGUUCUUCUAACCUGAACGGGAGAAAAGAUGUAUAUUGGUUAACUUGGACAGGUGCUAC